GAUGAACGCUGGCGGCGUGCUUAACACAUGCAAGUCGAACGAUAAAGCCCAGCUUGCUGGGUGGAUUAGUGGCGAACGGGUGAGUAACACGUGAGUAACCUGCCCUUGACUCUGGGAUAAGCCCGGGAAACUGGGUCUAAUACCGGAUAGGAGCGCCUGUCGCAUGACGGGUGUUGGAAAGAUUUUUCGGUCAUGGAUGGACUCGCGGCCUAUCAGCUUGUUGGUGAGGUAAUGGCUCACCAAGGCGACGACGGGUAGCCGGCCUGAGAGGGUGACCGGCCACACUGGGACUGAGACACGGCCCAGACUCCUACGGGAGGCAGCAGUGGGGAAUAUUGCACAAUGGGCGGAAGCCUGAUGCAGCGACGCCGCGUGAGGGAUGA
rnacentral:rRNA from 1 species